UCACCAUUCACACCUCACGUGCCUCCAAAACACCAAUCCAAACACAAACACCAAAUCCACAAUCCUUUCAAAUCUAUUACUAUACUCACAUCUCUCACCGGUUGCUUCAUCUUGCAAUGUUCAUCUCAGUUCACAAAAUGGUAAUCACUUUAACUCAAAAAAAUGACUUUAACUCAAGAAUAAUCACUUUAACUCAACAAAAUGAUUUUAACUCAAGAAUAAUCACUUUAUAGCAACAAAAAAAAUUAUUUGAAGUCAACCAAACAAAACAAAUCACUUUAACUCAACAAAAUCAAAACAAAUUUGAAGCUUGAAGCAAAAUCACUUCAAUUCAGCAAAAUAAAAAUAAAAACAAAAAACAACCAAUACAAAAAUACAGUUCAACUCUUAUGGAAAAAAAGAUAACACUUCACCUCUGUCAAACGAAAAAGAUAAUACCUGAGUUAGGGAUUUUGAGAAGCUAAAUUGUAGAAACCAAACUGAAAGGAUCUUGAGAAAAAGGAAGGAACUGUCUGUGAUGGAAGAUAUGAGAACCCUUGGUGGUGGAGGAAGAAAGCGAACCAUCAAUGGUGGUGGUAGUCAGAAUUUGCGAUUUAGGAUUAGCUUAUUUUUGA
rnacentral:lncRNA from 1 species